rnacentral:rRNA from 1 species
CCUACGGGAGACAGCAGUGAGGAAUAUUGGUCAAUGGUCGUAAGACUGAACCAGCCAAGUAGCGUGAAGGAUGACUGCCCUAUGGGUUGUAAACUUCUUUUAUGCGGGGAUAAAGUGCGGCACGUGUGCUGUUUUGUAGGUACCUCAUGAAUAAGGAUCGGCUAACUCCGUGCCAGCAGCCGCGGUAAUACGGAGGAUCCGGGCGUUAUCCGGAUUUAUUGGGUUUAAAGGGAGCGUAGGCGGGAUGUUAAGUCAGUUGUGAAAUGUUGCGGCUCAACCAUGAAAUUGCAAUUGAAACUGGCUGUCUUGAGUGCAGGUGAGGUAGGCGGAAUUCGUGGUGUAGCGGUGAAAUGCUUAGAUAUCACGAAGAACUCCGAUUGCGAAGGCAGCUUACGAAACUGCCACUGACACUGAUGCUCGAAAGUGUGGGUAUCGAACAGGAUUAGAUACCCUAGUAGUC